rnacentral:rRNA from 1 species
AGCAGUAGCCGCGGUAAUACGAAGGGUGCAAGCGUUAAUCGGAAUUACUGGGCGUAAAGCGUGCGUAGACGGUUUGUUAAGUCUGUUGUGAAAUCCCCGGGCUCAACCUGGGAAUGGCAAUGGAUACUGGCAAGCUAGAGUGUGUCAGAGGAUGGUGGAAUUCCCGGUGUAGCGGUGAAAUGCGUAGAGAUCGGGAGGAACAUCAGUGGCGAAGGCGGCCAUCUGGGACAACACUGACGCUGAGGCACGAAAGCGUGGGGAGCAAACAGGAUUAGAUACCCGGGUAGUCCCUGUCUCUUAUAC